ACACACCCUUAAUGUUUUUCUUUUUUGUUUGGGAUGGGUGGUGGUGUGGGAUUUUGCAGGUGAUAUCAUUCCAGUUUUUUCCAUUUAUGUUUUUUAUGUUAUGUAUGUUUGGUAGAAAGGAUACACAUGGCUGUUGGUAACGUUCCUGUCUUAUUGCAUUUUUGUGCUUAUGAAAACUUAUGAAUCACUCAGUUUAUAGCAUUGUUUCACUUUGGUUACCAAACCUUUUACUUUCCAAGUCGGUCAUUGAACUUUGAUUUUUGUUACAAUGUAGGCACUGUAUCCGGCUAAUUUAACAAAAAUGCUGUUGUGAAUUUUUUUUCAAGCUAAGAUCAUUUUCAGUUGCCAAUGCUAGCAUUUCUUUUAAUUGAACGGAUGGAGAUAAGAGGUAGAUAGAUGUACCUAAAAUGAAAAUUUAUAUGAAGCUUGGUGUCUAACUUCGAAACAUUAAGUUCAGGGACCAAAGUAAAACAACAUCUAACUCGAGCGAUAAUGGUGUUAACCCUAUGUAAGUGAAGAUAUUUUUAUGUUUUUCCCUUCACUUUUCCCAUUAAUUUGUACGUUCUGUUGCUAAUUAACGUCACUCAAUGAGCAUAAAAAAUUAUUUCGUGGAAAACAAUUAGUGUGGUGCUUUUCAUAUUUUUGUUUAUUCAUAAAGGUCACCACAUGGCUAAUUUUUUCGAUAUGUAUGAUUUUUUUAUCGGUUUGCUCAUUGAUGAAUAAAUUUGUACUUUGGAUCUUGUCCACAUUGUCUUAAGGCCACCAAAAUUUAAUGGACUUUCACUUCUAUAUGGGUAACAGUAUUUUUUCCUCUCACUGGUUGCACACGAACAGUUGCCAUAUAGUUCAAAAUGCUUUUAAGGUGCGAAUUCAUUGACAGGACUACUGCAAUACACCAACCCCCUUGCAUGCUCUACACCUUUUCUUUAUUGCAGUUAUUGAUACUUUCAAAAUUGAUCUCAACCAUUCCUUUUUUUCUAGGAUAACUUUGGUAGGUUGCAUGAUCGAAAUAAAGAAACACCGAAGACACUGAAGCAGCUCAGUCGUCUUUUCCCAAACAAAGUAACUAUACAGAUUCCUCAGGACGAAACAGUACUAUUAGACUGGAAA